GUGGGGAAUCUUCCGCAAUGGGCGAAAGCCUGACGGAGCAACGCCGCGUGAGUGAUGACGGCCUUCGGGUUGUAAAGCUCUGUGAUCGGGGACGAACGGUCAGCAGACGAAUACUCUGCUGAAGUGACGGUACCCGAAUAGCAAGCCACGGCUAACUACGUGCCAGCAGCCGCGGUAAUACGUAGGUGGCAAGCGUUGUCCGGAAUUAUUGGGCGUAAAGCGCGCGCAGGCGGCUUCUUAAGUCCAUCUUAAAAGUGCGGGGCUUAACCCCGUGAUGGGAUGGAAACUGAGAGGCUGGAGUAUCGGAGAGGAAAGUGGAAUUCCUAGUGUAGCGGUGAAAUGCGUAGAGAUUAGGAAGAACACCGGUGGCGAAGGCGACUUUCUGGACGACAACUGACGCUGAGGCGCGAAAGCGUGGGGAGCAAACAGGAUUAGAAACCCUAGUAGUCC
rnacentral:rRNA from 1 species